CCCAGAUCAGGGCCAGAACUGGACCUCAGCUGCCCUGUGGCUCAGCCCUGCUGCUCCUGCUUCUCCUGGAGGAGCCCGAGCUGCUCCGGUCUCUUCUGCCUCUCCUCUCCCCUCAGUCCAUCGCCCGUGGCUCUUUGCAGCUGCAAAGGCAGGCAGGUGGGCUGCAAAGAGCCCCAUGGCACCAUCGGGGGUGAUGCAAGUGCAGGCAAAAGGUCAAAGCAAGGAAAAAGCGAGCAUCGUUUGCUCCUGGGAGGCAUUGCCUCGCUGGGUGCCCGAGGCCAGGUGGACAGUCAGGUCCUUCCCAGCACAGCCCAGCAUCCCAAAGACAUCCCUCCCCUACUGCUCCCCCCAAAAGCUGCCACCGCCGAGCCACCUAAUGAAAUCCUCCUUGCCUGUGCAUGCUAUAUUAGGGUUUCCAUGGAUAUGGUACCACAAACACUGGGCUGUGGCUUUGUUAUAUAAACAGGAGAGAUUGCCACAGACACCCAAAAUAUCUGAAAGGACAGGAAGAGACAAAGGCGGGCUCCGGGUACAUCCUUGGCCCUGGUGGGGAGCAGGACCGAUGGUGGUGGAGACGUGCCGUCUUCUGCUCUGCCAGAGCUGCCCACACCCAACCCAGCUCAGCAAGACCGUCCAGCUCAUCCUGUGCCGUCUCAGAACCGGUGUUUGUUUGUCAGACGCACAACGCCCUGCACGGCCCUUCUGCAUCACCUGUCAGCCUUCAUUUUGCAGCGCUUGCCUUAACAUCCGUGCGGUGACCCCUUGCCUCUCUGGAGCGGUUUUCUUUGAGCUGGUCGGGAACAGGAGCAAAAGGAGCUGA
rnacentral:lncRNA from 1 species